GAUGAAGAACGCAGUGAAAUGCGAUAAGUAAUGUGAAUUGCAGAAUUCAGUGAAUCAUCGAAUCUUUGAACGCACCUUGCGCCCUUUGGCCAUUCCGAAGGGCAUGCCUGUUUGAGUAUCAUGAACACCUCAACUCUUUAUGGUUUUCCAUGAUGAGCUUGGACUCUGGGGGUUUUGCUGGCUCACAGUCGGCUCCUCUGAAAUGAAUCAGCUUACCAGUGUUUGGUGGGUAUCAUAGGUGUGAUAACUAUCUACGCUUGUGGUUUUUCCACCAGGUAACCUUCAGCAGUGGAGGUUCGCUGGAGCUCAUAGAUGUCUCUCCUCAGUGAGGACAGCCCUUUGAAUGUUUGAUCUCAAAUCAGGUAGGACUACCCGCUGAACUUAAGCAUAUCAAUAAGCGGAGGA
rnacentral:misc_RNA from 1 species